UAGCAUAUGCUUAAAACAAAAAUUACCCCUUGCAUGUCUAAAAAAAAACAACUUUUUUCUGUGAAUCUGCGUACAGCUCAUUAAAUCAUUUAUUAUUUAUUUGAUGGUCAUUUUCUACAUGGAUAACCGUAAAAACGCUAAAGCUAAUACAUGCUACAAGUCCCGACUUUUGAAGGGAUGUCUUUAUUAAAUUUUGAACCAAGGGCCUUCACGGGUCAUUUUGGUGAUUCAUAGUAACUGUUCAAAUCGCAUGGCUUCUGCUAGGCAAUAGUUCAUUCAAAUUUCUGCCCUAUCUAGCUCGAACGGUAGUGUAGUGAACUCCCGUGGCAUUGACGUUUGACGGGAAAUUG
rnacentral:rRNA from 1 species